rnacentral:misc_RNA from 1 species
CCUGUAAAACCUCUUCAGUGUAGCGUGUGUGAGAACCCACGUCUGGUUGCAAGAAUUAUUUGAUAGUGCUGUUCAUCGUUGCCGAGGAAGAGUGCCUUGAUAAGAGCUCCCUCCUGGUGUCGACAUGCGCCGAACCAUGACAGGAGAAGCGACAACAUCCCUCAGCCCCACAGCCCGCGUCGGCCCUGCCAAGGCGUCUCUGCUGCCGCUGCUGGACGACGCCUUCGCUCAACUCAAGGUGCCGUCCUUCAUCCACGUGAACCUGGACGCCGUGGCCCACAACAUCGAUGUUCUCAAGGGCCUUUCUUCAUCUCAUACAGAGAUUAUGGGGGUUGUGAAGGGCAGUGCUUACGGCUCUGGUCUCCUGCCGGUGGUGGAAGUCCUCCUGGAGAAGGGCGUGAAGGAAUUAUCAGUUGCCACAGUGGCCGAGGGGGUCUACUUGCGAAGGCAUGGGAUACAGGUCCCUAUUACUGUUCUAGGUAACCUACUGCCGUGUGAAGUGAGCGACGUGACACAGCAUCAUCUCAUUCCGUCCCUCAGCUGGUCGCACGCCCUCACCUCACUACCUCGAGAGGCCUUGGUUUAUCCGGACGGCUCGAGACUCAGAGUGGCCAUCAACAUCGACACGGGGAUGUCUCGCUAUGGCGUCCAACCCGAGGACCUUCCCGCGCUGGUGCAAGAGCUGGACGACCUGGAAGUCAACAUCUACUCCUUGUAUACGCACUUCCAGUCCGCCAUCACAGAGAGGGAGAAGAACCGCAAACAGCUCGACCUCUUUCUCGAAGCUUCUGAACCUUUCACGUCCCGUGGUAUUACUCGACACGUGGCAGCUACAACAGGAUGUGUGCAGGACCUUGGGACUGACCUGGACUUCAUAAGACCCGGUGGAGCUAUCACGGGCUUAUGUUCAGGUAGCGACCGAGAAGGAACGGAGCAGUUCGCAAUUAAAGGCUUCCAACCAGCGUUCUCUGUGGUUACUAGGCCUACCUUCUACAAGCUCCUGAAGGCGGGACGAGACAUCGGCUACGACGGAACGUACACAACUUCUGAAGACGAGUGGAUCGCCAACUUCACUACAGGGUGGUCUGAUGGCCUUAGUCGACGUCUUAGCAAUGGCGUCGGGGCGGUCAAGAGAGUUAACACAGGUGAACGGUGCCCCAUCGUUGGUCGAGUGUCCAUGGACUCCAUCACCGUACGCCUCCCUGAAGAGCCUUCUCCUGGUGAGGUGUUCCAAGUCCUCACUGAUGACUUCGACGACGUGACUUCAGCAGUGGGCAUGGCGAGGAACCUAGGCGGCGCCACCUACGAGAUGCCCGGAAACUGGUCUACGCGGUUGCCUCGCCUCUACACUCGCAACGGAAAGAUCGUCAGGAUCUGCCCGAGCCUUGAAUACACAUGUUGAGGGAUUUACGGCAGAUUGAGGCUUCCUCGUUAUAGCGGGGAUGAUGGUUGAUAGUGAUGGGUGUGAAAUGAUGGGAGCAUGUUGGUCAGAGUCAUAUGAUUGGGGGGAGGGUUCAGAGAGAAUCUGAAUAUCCAUCCUCAGAACUGACGUAGGCAGAUAACAAAAUAAAGGGUCCUUUUGGAGGUCGUUGUAGGCCCCCCAGGCGGCUUUGUACCUUGAAAAUGCAAAUUUAUGUAUAGCACGACUAUAAUUUUUUUUUUAGAAAACCGGUGGUCAUGGCCCCAACCCUCACGUAUCUAACACGUAAAAGUCGACAUUCUUGGUAUUUACACAACAGCACUUUUAAGGGUAAUGUAAUGAUCAGAUGAUGGUGGUUAUCACAGAUUAUUCAUCUUUUCAUUUCUCGUAAUGUACCAAGAUAUACAAUGAAGAAGAGAUGAUGAUAAUGGAAGACGCUAAAGUGUGGUACUUCAUUCUUUUAAUCUUAUGAAUAACUCUGAUAGUUUUCCCUUCUCAUAUAUUUAAAAACCAUAUAUACCACACUAUGCUUGCUUGCAUAAUUAUUGAAGGCACUGAACUGGGGUUGGAAUUGCACUAAACUCUAUUUCUUGUUUCAUCCCUUAUAAUUCUUCUUUAUUUAUUGAUAUACACCAUGUGACUCAAGCGAAAUGAAAAAAAUCGUUGUCAUAUAGGAAAUUCUAUAUAUUAUGCUGAAUAUUUUUUCCACGUUAAUUGUUAAUCCUUGUAAGAUUUUCCUUGAAUGUAACUAAUCAUAUAUAGAGAUAGCCAUCGACUACUCUACCCUCAAAGUUAAAGAGCAGUAUCUAUAUUUUUGUCCAAAUUAUCAUACCCAAAGGAUUUAACCCCUUCUUAAAUCCACUAUCUCCACCUUCUGGACACCUCAGAUUCUAAAACGUGUCCUUAUUUACCGAGAUUUUUACAAUUUUCAUCAACAGUAACUGCAAAGAGGCAGUGGCGACACCACGUAGAAAACCAAAUUUCUCAAAAUCAUGAUUUUGUAGAUACUGCUUUGGGGACAGUAAUGCUUGUGUGUGUUGAAAGAAAAGUGAUCAUAAAUCUUAAUGUGCAAUAAUUGUCUUCUUAUCUUAUCUCCCCCCCCCCCCCUCUCUCUCUCUCUCUCUCUCUCUCUCUCUCUCUCUCUGUCUCUCUCUCUCUCUCUCUCUCUCUCUCUCUCUCUCUCUCUCUCUCUCUCUCUCUCUCUCUCUCUCUCUCUCUCUGUAUAUACACAUAAUUAUUUAUUUAUUCAUAAUUUGGUGAUCUUGCGAAACAUAGAAAGUAUUUUGAUGUGGGCCGUAGAAUCAUGCAAUUGUAGUUAUUUGUGCGGGAUUUUAUCAAAUAAAUUUAGUGUGUGUGUGUGUGUGUGUGUGUGUGUGUGUGUGUGUGUGUGUGUGUGUGUGUGUGUGUGUGUGUGUGUGUGUGUGUGUGUGUGUGUGUGUCCAUACAGUAUUUAUAUAUGUGUGUGUGUAAAUAUUUGUGUUUAAGUGUUCAUGGUUAUGUACAGUGCAUACCGUUUAGUUACACAUAUCUAUUUGAAAUAUAUAUAUUCAGGAAUACAUAUAUGAACAUUACAAAUAAAUUUUUGAAGAUCC